rnacentral:rRNA from 1 species
AUGUUAAAUGUAAGCUCCAAGAUGAAAGUCUUAGUCACAACACGCAACAUAGACAUUGCAAGAAAAAUUUGUACUGUUCAACCAUACAUGUUAGAUCUCUUGGACAAUGACAUGUGCUGGAGAAUAAUCAAUCAAAAUAGCGGCUUUGAAUCUAGAGCUGAUAAAGAGCAAGUUAAACCAAUUGGACAGAAGAUUGCAAAGAAAUGUGGAGGUUUGCCAUUAGCAGCUCAAGCACUUGGAUUCUUGCUAUUUGGAAUGGAUCUUAGUGACUGGAAAGCAAUGUGCAAUAGUGAUAUUUGGGAUGAACCAUUUUCUGAUAGUACAGUGUUACCAUCCUUGAAGUUAAGUUACAAUACUUUGACACCAUAUUUGAGGUUAUGUUUUGCCUAUUGUGGCAUCUUUCCUAAAGGUCACAAUAUAAGUAAAGAUGAUCUUAUCCAUCAAUGGAUUGCUCUGGGUUUCAUCGAGCCAUCUAAUAACUUUUCGGCCAGACAACUUGGCGAGAAGUAUGUUAGGCAGUUCCUUGGGAUGUCUUUUCUUCAGCAUUCAAAAUCGCGCAAGGAAUUUUCGACAGCAAUAUUAACAAUGCACGAUCUGCUGCAUGAUCUUGCAAGAUCGGUCAUUACUGAAGAGUUGGUUGUCUUUGAUGCUGAAAUAGGGAGCAGAACUAGAACAAAAGAAUACUGCUGCUAUGCGUCCCUUACAAAUUACAGAGAUGCAAGGAAGAUACCAACUAUUUUCCCACCUAAAUUAAGGGCGAUGCAUUUUUCGGAUUGCAAAUUCCAUGGUGGUGCAUUUUCAUUUCCAAAGUGUCUGCGUGUCUUGGAUCUAUCUGGAUGCGCAAUCACAGAGUUUCCAAGCGCUUUAGGACAAUUGAAGCAACUGGAGGUUCUUAUUGCUCCAAAGCUGCAAGAUGGGCAGUUUCCCGAGAGUAUCACUCGUCUCUCAAAAUUACAUUACCUAAACCUCAAUGGAUCAUGUGGAAUUUCAAAAAUACCAAUCUCCGUUAGUAAACUUGAGACCCUAGCGCAUCUUCACUUAUCUUACUGUACCAGUGUCAGUGUCAUAUCAGAAACUCUUGGGAGCCUAAAUAACCUUGAAACACUGGACCUCUCACAAUGUCCUAGUCUAAAGUGCCUUCCAGAGAGCCUUGGAAGCCUAAAAAAACUUCAAAAAUUGGACCUCUCAUGGUGCCGGAAACUAGAGUCCCUUCCACAUAGCAUAGGAAGCCUAAAAAACCUUCAAAACCUGGACCUCUCAUGGUGCGAGGAACUAGAGUUCCUUCCAGAGAGUCUUGGGAGCCUACAAAACCUACGUUCACUUGACCUCUCAUGA